rnacentral:rRNA from 1 species
GGCGGCGUGCCUAACACAUGCAAGUCGAACGCGCUCCAUUCGGUAGCAAUACUGAUGAAGAGCGAGUGGCGAACGGGUGAGUAGCACGUGAGCAACCUGCCCCGAAGAUCGGGACAACACCGGGAAACCGGUGCUAAUACCGAAUAUCCCUAUCGGACCGCAUGAUCUGAUAAGGAAAUGGAUUCCGCUUCGGGAGGGGCUCGCGGCCUAUCAGCUAGUUGGUGAGGUAACGGCCCACCAAGGCAUCGACGGGUAGCUGGUCUGAGAGGAUGGUCAGCCACAUUGGAACUGAGACACUGUCCAGACUCCUACGGGAGGCUGCAGUCGAGAAUCUUGGGCAAUGCACGAAAGUGUGACCCAGCGACGCCGCGUGGAGGAUGAAGGCCCUUGGGUUGUAAACUCCUUUUAGAGGAGAAGAACGCGCCGCAAGGCGCUUGACGGUACCCUCUGAAUAAGCCACGGCUAACUACGUGCCAGCAGCCGCGGUAAUACGUAGGUGGCAAGCGUUGUCCGGAUUUACUGGGCGUAAAGCGUGUGCAGGCGGACCUUUAA